rnacentral:lncRNA from 1 species
GUUUAAACUAGUACAUAGGCGGAUCCAGGGGGGCCUGGGCCCCCCUUUCAUGGAAAAAAUUCAGUUGAUUAUAUAGGGAAUCAUUGAAGCCUGCCUGGAGCGGCCCCCCUUAGGUCAGUCAGCUGGCCCCCUUAGGAAAAGUUCUGGAUCCGCCACUGCAGUAUUAUGUUCACCUACAAACAAGUCAUCCAAAACUGACAAAAUAUAAAGCACAA